rnacentral:rRNA from 1 species
UACGGGGGGAGCAAGCGUUGUUCGGAUUUACUGGGCGUAAAGGGCGCGUAGGCGGACAUUUAAGUUAGAGGUGAAAGCCCAGGGCUCAACCCUGGAAUAGCCUUUAAUACUGGAUGUCUUGAGUUCGGGAGAGGUGAGUGGAAUGCCGAGUGUAGAGGUGAAAUUCGUAGAUAUUCGGCGGAACACCAGUGGCGAAGGCGACUCACUGGCCCGAUACUGACGCUGAGGCGCGAAAGCGUGGGGAGCAAGCAGG